rnacentral:rRNA from 1 species
AGAGUUUGAUUCUGGCUCAGGAUGAACGCUGGCGGCGUGCUUCAUACAUGCAAGUCGAACGAGAAUUUGGAGCUUGCUACCAAAGGAAAGUGGCGGACGGGUGAGUAAUACAUAGGGAAUCUGCCCUUAGCUGGGGGACAACAGUUGGAAACGACUGCUAAUACCGCAUAUGAGCUAACCUGAAAUGGUUAUCUUGAAAACUCCGGUGGCUAAGGAUGAGCCUGUGCCUGAUUAGCUUGUUGGCGGGGUAAUGGCCCACCAAGGCGACGAUCAGUAGCUGGUUUGAGAGGAUGAUCAGCCACAAUGGGACUGAGACACGGCCCAUACUCCUACGGGAGGCAGCAGUAGGGAAUUUUGCGCAAUGGGCGAAAGCCUGAACCGCAGCGAACGCCGCGUGUGUGAUGAACGCCCCGUAGGGGUGUAAAACACUGUCAGUAGGGACGAAUUUUGACGGUACCUACAGAGGAAGCACCGGCUAACUCCGUGCCAGCCGCCGC